GGGUGGUAAUGCCGCAUGCUCCGCACUGCUGCAUGGUGGUGCGGGAAAGGUUUUUCCGGUAUGGGAUGGGGUCGCGUCCUAUCAGGUAGUCGGCGGGGUGAUGGCCCACCGAGCCUAUGACGGGUAGCCGGCCUGAGAGGGCGACCGGCCACAUUGGGACUGAGAUACGGCCCAGACUCCUACGGGAGGCAGCAGUGGGGAAUAUUGCACAAUGGGCGCAAGCCUGAUGCAGCGACGCCGCGUGCGGGAUGGAGGCCUUCGGGUUGUAAACCGCUUUUAUCGGGGAGCAAGCGAGAGUGAGUGUACCCGUUGAAUAAGCACCGGCUAACUACGUGCCAGCAGCCGCGGUAAUACGUAGGGUGCAAGCGUUAUCCGGAAUUAUUGGGCGUAAAGAGCUCGUAGGCGGUUCGUCGCGUCUGGUGUGAAAGCCCAUCGCUUAACGGUGGGUCUGCGCCGGGUACGGGCGGGCUGGAGUGCGGUAGGGGAGACUGGAAUUCCCGGUGUAACGGUGGAA
rnacentral:rRNA from 1 species